UUAGGGUUAUUUACAGCAAGGCCAGCUAUUCUGGUUGCUAUAUUUUUCUCCACUGUUUAUCUUACAGUACUCAGAAAUUUGGAUUUAAAUAUGGUUAUGCUUUUGCCAAACAAGAACAACAAAACUAGUGUGCAACAGCCAUUGAUAAUGGGAUUUAGGUUGGAUAAGGCUGUAAAUGAGGACAUGGGGGGAGUAAGGGACAGUGAAAUGAUGAUAAGAUGAAUGACUUAGUAAUGACUGCAGGCUGGAAGAAUUGUGUGGAGAGAAUGAGGUGAAACAAUAGGAAGUGACGGCAGAGUGGGAUGCCUGUAAUGAGCACUAAGGAGACAAUGCAGUUGCUCUGUAUAACAAGCUCUAGGAUCACGUCCAGGGGAGUGAGGGGCCAGGCUGGGUAAAGAGGCAGAGGGGACGCCUGAGCUUGUGGUGACAGCAGCAAUGAAGAGCACUGAUGGGCUGUGAGAGGUCUUUGAAAUGCUCACGGAAAGCGCAUGAAGAAACAUUGCCCGGACUUCAAAGGUUUUUUACACCCAAAUACUUACCUUUAAUUCAAUUUUCCCUCAAACUUUCUGAAGUAUCCUCAUAAGCUGACAACCAACAUUCAAGAUGAGGGGAUUUUAGGAAUAAGGAACGAUUGGAAAGUGACCUUGAAGCAGCAACAGGGAACAAAGAAGGCAUAGUCUCUCCUUCUAGGAGUGUAAUGGGGAUUGUGGGGGCUAAGAGUCCACCUGCGAGUCUGAGGGCUGCCUGACGGAGAGCAUAAGCACAUGACGAGAGUGAAGACAAUUGCUGCCUCCUCACCAAUGCUCCUGGAACCGCAGGAAAUGAGAUGCACCUGCCACUGAACUAGGACUCUGGACUCUGGCAACCAGGGCUGGACCCACACUGGUCACUAACUGGCUCUAAACCAAAGGACAGCUUGAAUUAUUGAGCCGUGAACUGCUCACCUGGACUGAGCAGACCCUGCCCUGGUGAUCAUGGUCAAGACUCAAGUGCUGAUUGCAGUCAGUCUCCUCCACUUCCCCUCGUUCAUGAUCAUACCUGC